CCUACGGGUGGCUGCAGUGGGGAAUUUUGGACAAUGGGCGCAAGCCUGAUCCAGCCAUGCCGCGUGCGGGAAGAAGGCCUUCGGGUUGUAAACCGCUUUUGUCAGGGAAGAAAUUGCUCGGGCUAAUACCCUGGGCCGAUGACGGUACCUGAAGAAUAAGCACCGGCUAACUACGUGCCAGCAGCCGCGGUAAUACGUACGGUGCGAGCGUUCAUCGGAAUUACUGGGCGUAACGCGUAAGAAGGAGGUCAAAUCCCCGGGCUCAACCUGGGAACUGCAUUUGUGACUGCACGGCUUGAGUACGGUAGAGGAGGAUGGAAUUCCGCGUGUAGCAGUGAAAUGCGUAGAUAUGCGGAGGAACACCGAUGGCGAAGGCAGUCCCCUGGGCCUGUACUGACGCUCAUGCACGAAAGCGUGGGGAGCAAACAGGAUUAGAUACCCUGGUAGUC
rnacentral:rRNA from 1 species